rnacentral:rRNA from 1 species
AGUGGAUGGGGAGCAACCUAGUUGUGCGUGUGUAAAGGUAGUGCCAAGAAAAGCGGUGAUCAUGAUGAAAAUCAAUUCCCGGUACCCGAAACCGACACAGGUGGGCAAGUAGAGAAUACUAAGGGGCGCGAGGUAACUCUCUCCAAGGAACUCGGCAAAAUGACCCCGUAACUUAGGGAGAAGGGGUGCCACCGAGAGGUGGUCGCAGUGAAGAGGCCCAGGCGACUGUUUAGCAAAAACAUAGGUCUCUGCAAACUCGAAAGAGGAGGUAUAGGGGCUGACGCCUGCCCAGUGCCGGAAGGUUAAAGAAGUUGGUCAGUCUUAGGAUAAAGCUAGCGACUGAAGCCCCGGUGAACGGCGGCCGUAACUAUAACGGUCCUAAGGUAGCGAAAUUCCUUGUCGGGUAAGUUCCGACCCGCACGAAAGGCGUAACGAUCUGGGCGCUGUCUCGGAGAGAGGCUCGGCGAAAUAGGAUUGUCUGUGAAGAUACGGACUACCUGCAUUUGGACAGAAAGACCCUAUGAAGCUUUACUAUAGCUUGGAAUUGUGUUCGGGCUUCCUGUGCGCAGGAUAGGUGGGAGGCGAAGAAGGUAUUCUUGUGGGGAUACUGGAGCCAACGGUGAGAUACCACUCUCAGGAGGCUAGAAUUCUAACUUAAUUAAGGACAGUUUCAGGUGGGUAGUUUGACUGGGGCGGUCGCCUCCAAAAAGGUAACGGAGGCGUACAAAGGUUCCCUCAGACUGGUUGGAAAUCAGUCGCAGAGUGCAAAGGCAGAAGGGAGCUUGACUGCGAGAAGUACAGUUCGAGCAGGGUGGAAACACGGUCUUAGUGAUCCGACGGUGCUGUGUGGAAGGGCCGUCGCUCAACGGAUAAAAGUUACUCUAGGAUAACAGGCUGAUCUCCCCCAAGAGUUCACAUCGACGGGGAGGUUUGGCACCUCGAUGUCGGCUCAUCGCAACCUGGGGCGGAAGUACGUCCCAAGGGUUGGGCUGUUCGCCCAUUAAAGCGGUACGUGAGCUGGGUUCAGAACGUCGUGAGACAGUUCGGUCCAUAUCCGAUGUAGGCGUGAGAAUAUUGAGAGGAGCCUUCCUUAGUACGAGAGGACCGGGAAGGACGCACCGCUGGUGUACCUGUUAUGAUGCCAAUUGUAAACGCAGGGUAGCCAAGUGCGGAGAGGAUAACCGCUGAAAGCAUCUAAGUGGGAAGCCCACCUCAAGAUGAGUAUUCUGGUGUAAGGUCACGGGAAGACGACCCGUAAAUAGGCACGAGGUGGAAGUGCAGAGAUGUAUGAAGCCGAGGUGUACUAAUAGACCGUCGGCUUGACC